rnacentral:misc_RNA from 1 species
GCCAACAAAACAAAUCCCAAAAGGAAGCCCGUCACAAAUCCACCGAUAUGAGCAAAGUUAUCGGCAUGAGGUAGUAUCCCAAUAGCCAAGUUGAUUGCGAUUAUAAAUAGAAGAGUUAUUAUGGCUGCUGCCUUGUUGGAAUAAAUAGUCCAGUUCAUAAUAAGCUCAGAAAGCAUUGAUCCAAGCAGUCCAAAUAAAGCUCCAGAGGCUCCAACAGAGAUGUAGUUAUUACGAAGGAAAA